UACGAAGGGUGCAAGCGUUACUCGGAAUUACUGGGCGUAAAGCGUGCGCAGGCGGCUUUGCAAGACAGAUGUGAAAUCCCCGGGCUUAGCCUGGGAACUGCAUUUGUGACUGCAUGGCUGGAGUGCGGCAGAGGGGGAUGGAAUUCCGCGUGUAGCAGUGAAAUGCGUAGAUAUGCGGAGGAACACCGAUGGCGAAGGCAAUCCCCUGGGCCUGCACUGACGCUCAUGCACGAAAGCGUGGGGAGCAAACAGG
rnacentral:rRNA from 1 species